rnacentral:rRNA from 1 species
CGCGCAGGCGGGACAGCAAGUCAGAAGUGAAAUACCGGGGCUCAACCUCGGGGCUGCUUUUGAAACUGUUGUUCUUGAGUAUCGGAGAGGAAAGCGGAAUUCCCAGUGUAGCGGUGAAAUGCGUAGAUAUUAGGAGGAACACCAGUAGCGAAGGCGGCUUUCUGGACUGUAACUGACACUGAGGCACGAAAGCGUGGGGAGCAAACA